rnacentral:rRNA from 1 species
GACGAACGCUGGCGGCGUGCUUAACACAUGCAAGUCGAACGGAAAGGCCCUGCUUUUGUGGGGUGCUCGAGUGGCGAACGGGUGAGUAACACGUGAGUAACCUGCCCUUGACUUUGGGAUAACUUCAGGAAACUGGGGCUAAUAUCGGAUAGGAGCUCCUGCUGCAUGGUGGGGGUUGGAAAGUUUCGGCGGUUGGGGAUGGACUCGCGGCUUAUCAGCUUGUUGGUGGGGUAGUGGCUUACCAAGGCUUUGACGGGUAGCCGGCCUGAGAGGGUGACCGGCCACAUUGGGACUGAGAUACGGCCCAGACUCGUACGGGAGGCAGCAGUGGGGAAUAUUGCACAAUGGGCGGAAGCCUGAUGCAGCAACGCCGCGUGCGGGAUGACGGCCUUCGGGUUGUAAACCGCUUUCGCCUGUGACGAAGAGUGAGUGACGGUAAUGGGUAAAGAAGCACCGGCUAACUACGUG